rnacentral:tRNA from 1 species
CAAUAGGUAGUUUAGGUAAAAUAUUAGUUUUGGAGACUAAAGAAAUUUCUUUUCUAUUGA